UUCCUACGGGGGGCUGCAGUGGGGAAUCUUGGGCAAUGGGGGCAACCCUGACCCAGCGACGCCGCGUGAGUGAGGAAGGUCUUCGGAUCGUAAAGCUCUGUCGGAUGUGAAGAAAUGUGUGGAAGUGAACAGCUUCCAUGCUUGACGGUACCAUCAGAGGAAGCACCGGCUAACUCCGUGCCAGCAGCCGCGGUAAUACGGGGGGUGCAAGCGUUGUUCGGAAUCAUUGGGCGUAAAGGGCGUGUAGGCGGGUGGAUAAGUCAGAUGUGAAAUCCCUGGGCUUAACCCAGGAAGUGCAUUUGAAACUGGCCGGCUUGAGUGAGGGAGAGGAAAGGGGAAUUCCUGGUGUAGAGGUGAAAUUCGUGGAUAUCAGGAGGAACACCGGGGGCGAAGGCGACUUUCUGGCCCUAUACUGACGCUGAGACGCGAAGGCGUGGGGAGCAAACAGGAUUCGAUACCCUGGUAGUCGC
rnacentral:rRNA from 1 species